CUCAGGCAGAACUUGGCAGCCAUUGAAACUCACAAGUGUAUGGUAACCUCCCCAAGAGAAUAAGAGUGGGAAGUCCAUUCUUUCCUCCAUGGUUCAUUCCUGUUGACCUUCUGUUUGUCCCGCUCUACACUGGCUUGGUCAGAGAUCUCACCCACUCAGAGAUAUACUGAUCCAUAAUGCCUAGUUGGACUGGAGCUUAUUGAUGAUAGAGUCCCACUUCUUGGAAGAAAACCAGAAAUGAAGAGAUUAUUUGCUUCUCAAAUACACCAAACAACAGAAAUGCAGGAGUGAAUGCAGCAGCCAAAGACUGCAACAACAGCAGAGUGACAACAGAGAGACCAGUAAUAGAAUUCUUUCUAAAUAUACACAAGGACAUAGGGAUGAAGGCAGAAGUCUGAUAGAAGUAGCAGUGAAGAGUUUAACCGUCUAUACAGUCAUUGCAACAAUGUAAAUGAAAGAAUGAUACACUGAAAAUCAAAAGUAAACGCAACCCCAUUAUGAAGAUCAAAGAGGGUUUGAUUACAAAAGAGAUGAGAAGAUAUUCAACAUUUGAUUGAAGUGGGAGCCCCACAGAAAAGCCAGACUGAACGGCAGGGAGACCCUGGCCCUCUGGGAGCAAAUGCAGAGGCCACUCUAAAGGGUAAGAGCCCUGUGCUGGAUCCCUUGGCUGCCCUAGAGGCAGAUAAGCAGGAACUGAGCCAGACCCGUCCUCUCAGUGCCUGCUUGGGGGGUGGGGGUGUGACAGGGAGGCAGCAGGUGCCACCACCAGGCUCCCAACGCACACCUAGAGGGCAUCCUCUCCUCCCAGAGAACCCAGGGCUGGGAACCUCCGAACCCAGAACCUGGCCUCUGGUCCAGACUGACUCUCUUCCCCCCUCUCUGGGCCUCAGCUCAGCUCCCUUAGAAAAGGAAAGUUGGGCUCCCUGGUCUCCCACAGGCCCCUUCUUCCAAUGCUACCCCUUUGUUUUAUUCUUAGAUUGGAAAAGAAUGUAUAAGGCUCUCUCCGUUGUGGUGAGGUCCUCAAGGCAAGCCAGUGCUGGAUCUGAGGGAGAGAGCUGGACUUUAGAAUAGGGGACCAGCUCUGCAGCACUCUGCUCUCCAGGGGACAGCCCUGCGGACAUGGAGAUAGCCUAGUAGACAGACAGCUGGAGUGUUCUGGAUGUUCACAAGGACCCAGGACUGUCCAAAAGGCUGGGGUGGGACACAGUAAGGGCUUCCUUCACCCUCACUCCGGAGAUUCUGGCUCUCUUUGGCUCAGGAUCCUAGAUCUAGGCUUCUGUCCCCAAUAGCCAUUCUCCUUUCUCAGCUAAUGCAGGACAAGAGGAGGCUGUGGAUUGAUGGCUGGUCAGGAAGACCUGGGUUCAAAUCUCACCCCUAACACUAACUGUGUGACCCUGGGCACCUCUCUGAGCCUUGAGCAACCCUCUGUGGGUCAGCUGGUCUACAAGGGAGUACCUUAAGCUGAUAAAAUCACAGUUCUUUGGAUAUCUCAGUGCUAGGAAGGCAGGACAAUACAGGGAAGAGGGUGAGGGGCUUAGAGUUAGAAGUUCUUGAUUUGAAUGCCAGCUCUGCUAAUCUGCCUCCAGUCUUCCAUUCCUCCUUCCCCUCCCUCCCUGCCUCUCAUAAAGUAAUUUGGGGGGGUGGGGGGGAGGCAGCUGGGUAGCUCAGUGGAUUGAGAGCCAGGUCUAGAGACAGGAGGUCCUUGGGUUCAAAUGUGGCCUCAGACACUUUCUAGUUGUGUGACCCUGGGCAAGUCACUUGACCCCCAUUGCCUAGCCCUUACCACUCUUCUGCCUUGGAGCCAAUACAUGGUAGUGACUCCAAGAUGGAAGGUCAGGGUUUAAAAAAAAAGUUAACUUGGG
ensembl:lncRNA